rnacentral:rRNA from 1 species
CUCCGGGUGAUCCCGCCGGACCCGACUGCUAUCAGAGUGGGACUAAGCCAUGCGAGUCAACAUAGCAAUAUGUGGCAUACGGCUCAGUAACACGUAGUCAACAUGCCCAGGGGACGUGGAUAACCUCGGGAAACUGAGGAUAAACCGCGAUAGGUCAUCACUUCUGGAAUGGGUAAUGACUUAAAUCUAUAUGGCCCCUGGAUUGGACUGCGGCCGAUCAGGCUGUUGGUGAGGUAAUGGCCCACCAAACCUGUAACCGGUACGGGCUCUGAGGGGAGGAGCCCGGAGAUGGGCACUGAGACAAGGGCCCAGGCCCUAUGGGGCGCAGCAGGCGCGAAACCUCUGCAAUAGGCGAAAGCUUGACAGGGUUACUCUGAGUGAUUUCCGUUAAGGAGAUCUUUUGGCACCUCUAAAAAUGGUGCAGAAUAAGGGGUGGGCAAGUCUGGUGUCAGCCGCCGCGGUAAUACCAGCACCCCGAGUGGUCGGGACGUUUAUUGGGCCUAAAGCAUCCGUAGCCGGUUCUACAAGUCUUCCGUUAAAUCCACCUGCUUAACAGAUGGGCUGCGGAAGAUACUAUAGAGCUAGGAGGCGGGAGAGGCAAGCGGUACUCGAUGGGUAGGGGUAAAAUCCGUUGAUCCAUUGAAGACCACCAGUGGCGAAGGCGGCUUGCCAGAACGCGCUCGACGGUGAGGGAUGAAAGCUGGGGGAGCAAACCGGAUUAGAUACCCGGGUAGUCCCAGCUGUAAACGAUGCAGACUCGGUGAUGAGUUGGCUUAUUGCUAACUCAGUGCCGCAGGGAAGCCGUUAAGUUUGCCGCCUGGGGAGUACGGUCGCAAGACUGAAACUUAAAGGAUUGGCGGGGGAGCA